UGGGGAAUAUUGGACAAUGGGCGAAAGCCUGAUCCAGCCAUGCCGCGUGUGUGAAGAAGGUCUUCGGAUUGUCAAGCACUUUAAGUUGGGAGGAAGGGCAGUAAGCGAAUACCUUGCUGUUUUGACGUUACCGACAGAAUAAGCACCGGCUAACUCUGUGCCAGCAGCCGCGGUAAUACAGAGGGUGCAAGCGUUAAUCGGAAUUACUGGGCGUAAAGCGCGCGUAGGUGGUUCGUUAAGUUGAAUGUGAAAGCCCCGGGCUCAACCUGGGAACUGCAUCCAAAACUGGCGAGCUAGAGUAGGGCAGAGGGUGGUGGAAUUUCCUGUGGAGCGGUGAAAUGCGUAGAUAUAGGGAGGAACACCAGUGGCGAAGGCGACCACCUGGGCUCAUACUGACACUGAGGUGCGAAAGCGUGGGGAGCAAACAGG
rnacentral:rRNA from 1 species